CAUUGGUUCAGCAAUACGAGGAAAAAAAGGCAAGAUAUGAUACAGGAGAAACAACACGAUCGGGGAGGCGGCGCAUCUUCGGGGAGGAUAAGAGGACAGGGGAGGAGAAGUAAGGCCUGGUGGCUGCUAAGGAGGUGCUCGCCGGCGAGCGGGCUCCGGCGGCCGCCUAGCGCGCGGAGUUGGAUCGGGGCGCAUCCCCGCGGCCGUGGUUGUACUCGCUACGCCGCCUGCCCAAAAGAACCGGUGCUCCCCGCCGCCUGCCUCUCUUACCCACGUGAAGCUACCACUUCCUUCCUCCUCCGCCAGCCCCAAGAGUGCCCACCCCGUUGCCCGGUCGGCUGCACCAGCGCCCUGCCGGUGGCGCUCGUCGGCCCUCCCCGCCGGCCCCGCGCCGUACCCGUCGUCUCCUCAAUCUGUUGUCAGCGCCCUCCCAGUGGCCCUCGCCGACCCUCCCCGCCGUCCCCGUGUCGUAUCCGCCAUCUCCCCAAUCCGCAGCUAGAGGACACGCCAAGAAGCUUCAGUCAUGAGGCCGUCGCGCCGGAGGUCUUCCAUCUCAGAUUUGUUUUCUUUACGGUAUUUCCUCAGUGAUGUGAUGCUUCAACUUCUCUUCCGGUGCUUCUCAAAUUGAUGUAACCAAGAGGUGUUGUCAAGAAUUUCAUCAUGGCCACUGCUUUCCCACCAAGGUAUUUGCCGCAUGCAGCCAUGCACAAGUGUCGUCACUUGCAUCUCCUCUGUGCGUUCCCGUCAUUCCAUGCCGCACGAGGCUGCAGUCACCACACCCUUGAGUAGGUAAUUCAUCAAUUGAUAGUUUUUGUCCCUGCCGUGACUUGCAUCUUUCUACCUUGCUUCAAAUUUAAUUUGAUUGAAUGUCAAAUAAAGAUCAACUUUAUCUCUGAUUGAUUCAUGGAAGUACAAGCUGAAUUAUAUUCAGGAUAUUCUGAUUAUUACUUCCAAGUUAUAUUCUAACACAAUGUCUUUGGUUUAACAACUUGCAAGUGUUUCUUGUACUGAUGUUAACCUCAUAAAAAAGACUCCCAGGUGGACAUCUGCUAUAAAUAAUCAGGUACUGCUUUCCAUUAUCAAAUUCAAAUGCUCAGUGAAACUAUCCAAUGGAUGGACUGGUUGUUUAACACUGAAUCAUCAACACUUUAUUCUCAUCUUAUCUCCUCUUCCAUUCACUGAAACAUCUACAGUGCACGCUUGUUACUUCUUUGACUGCUUGAACAUAAAUAUUGAGAAAACUCAAUUUUCUAUGGGCAUGAAUAAUCUUUCGAUUCAUACAUAAAAUCAAAAUGUGGUUCCAGUUCCAGGAGGUAUGGCAUGAUUUCUCUGCUGGCGUGUGUGUGUGUGUUGCUUGUUUGUCUGUUGCCGGCUGGAUUGCGCAGCGGCGAUGCCGGGAGCCGGGGGUCAUUGGAAAAGUGAGAUGCCGACGUCACUCAAAACGAUCCUUGCAUGGUAUUGACAGAAUCAUCCACAAAUUAUUUGAUGGCAUUGACCCUUGCUUGGCACGUGCUUGGCAUUGACUGAAUCCUACAUUGGCGAGCUUGUAUCCCGACCAACCUCUUUGUCUUCAUUUUUUAGAAGCUAACUCACUUGGUUUGUGCGCUCCAAUUUGCAUAUAGAGAGGUUCAGAUGUCUGGCCAUCUAGGCACUGCCUAUUUCUCUAAACCUGAAAAUUCAAAAAUCACUUUAGUUUUCACUAACACAGCUAGGGCCAACACCUGCUAUCAAAAGAGCCUCAACAGUGGACGGGGUGGCGGAGUAGUCACGUACCAACAAUACAGUAACUGCUAGCUAUACUUCUGGAGCAAAUUCUUUGUCGUAGUCAUCAGGCCGCAGAUGGCGUUGCCGGGAUACACGCCCACCAAGGUCUCCGGCCCUAUAGGCCCAUGAGGGAUCCAGGGUGUUGCUCUAUGCAGCAUCAUGACCACAAUGGUGACUUUGUUUUGAAAAUACUAUUUGAAUGGCAUCACAACAUUGAGUACACAUUUUUUUUCAACAGUUGCUUUAUUUUUAUACCAUGUGAAUCUCCCUGGGUUAGAGCUUGAGAUGUGCGUUACACACGGUUAAUUUUUCACGAUUUAUUGUUGUUGCUAUUUCCCAUGAGGUACUUGAUAAAAAGUGUUCGGCGUGUGGUGCUCUUCAAUGACUUGUUCUCUUUUGAAGAGCAAGCAGUAGAGCAUGAGAGUGCCGUGAUCCUCCAAAUUCCUGCUCGCUUCUAUACCCGUAUAUCUGUUAUUUUUGACUGAUUUUAUUCCCUUGAAUGCUACAUAAGAGGUGUCUUUGCAGAGCUUAAGAACAAUUUAUUUGGUUGGAGCUAACUAAUACUGUAUUGCAAAGGGCCAGACAGCCAACCAACUACAAAUGGACUGCCCGAAUUUAUCCAUGUGCUGGAAUAGAUGAUAUUUGAUGAUUUGAACCUUGCAACGGUAGGGUUUCCACAUGUAUCUACCUCAAUUUAUUUGAUGAUACUUGUUGAAAGAUAUUUCUAAUACUUUAGUGCAUGUGAUAUAUUAUUUUAGAUAGUAGUACUACUUUAAUGUGGUGUGUUACAUUUUAGCUGGCAAAUGGGUUAAAUUCAUCUACGCAUCAGGUCAUCAGCACUCAGUAUCUCUGUGUUCUUGACAUACAAAAACUAUACGUGUGUGAACUCUUGAAGUAAAAUACCAUAUUGUCUGCUUGAUUGUUAUUGUAGUUAACAAAAUGUUUAAAAAUUUAGCAAAAACAUACAACAUCCAAUAAUAUAGUACUUAUUAGCAUCUAUUGUGAUUAUCAACAUUUAUAUUUGUAAGACAUGUGUUGCACAUGCAUGUUUAUUUUGUUUUAAGUUUUCAACUGCAGGGGUGUGAGACUUUAGCAUGCUCUGUACAUAAGCAGGGAGUUCAGGGGCAGAACUGAAGGUAGACUCGGGUGCAGUUAUCCACUCCUACUUGCUUUCACUAGAACAACAUAUUACACUGUGAAAGCAAGAUCAUGCACUGGCAUCGGUUUUAUUACUCCACAGAUGUGGGUCAUCGGCCAUGACAAAAUAUGGGAUAACAAAUAUUAUGGAUACAAGAUGGCAACAUAAACUUCGCAAUUUUAUGAUUUGUGAUCUCGUAGAUUUUUGCCAUGCGGAGGACAAAUGAUUCUGGCUAUAUGCACUGGAGUUUAAUCCAUGUAUGUGAACUAAUUAGAUAUCGAUCUAUGUAAAUUUGGAGAAUCAUAUGUGUUUGAGAUGAUUUGAGAGUGCCCUUACCGGCCGUGUAGGUCCACGGUAAUUUGAUUGUUCUGAUUUGUGUUCCAUUUUUACUUAACGGAGAUGUAUUUUCACUAUUAAGUGUAAUAAUUAAUAACUAUUGGAUGUGUUCCGCAACGCGAUACACGACGAGUGGGAUUUUCCUUGGCAUGAGCGGAGAUGCCUUCGAAUUACUAAGUUUUAUUUGGUUGUUUGUUUCAUGUGUUAGUUCUGUAUUGUACCAAUGUUCAUUCAAAUGAAAAUGCAAGGUACUACAAUGAUGAAUGUAUGAUAUUUUCAUAAAAUUAAUAAAAUAUAGGACAUUGAAAUGUAGGGGUUGAGGUUUAGAGGUCUGCUGGAGUUAAACAAAUUGUAAGUGAGGAUCUUUAUAGUUGAGUCCCUAUGCGUUGAUUGAUGGGAAAUGUUUUAGGGGACCUAUGAGAGUUUCUCUGACUCCAGUUCAUGACUCCUUGGAAAUCCUCCCAACCAUUCCUGUUUACACUAAAAACAUAUUUUGUUACCCUUUUAAUUAUUAUUUUUAAAAAUUUCUUUAGUGAAUUCAACUUCAUCAUAUAAUCGAGUUUUGCUUUGAGCACGCAUGACGGCCACACGACAAGAGCUGGGAAGGAGGCAGAGUUCAUAAAGUACAUGUUCGACCGUGACAACCCCAAGCAUGUGUCCGCGUACUUGAUGAUGAGGUGGCCAGGUGAAUACGACUCAUGAGAGUGCGAGCUUUGAAAGAGGAUAAGUAGAACACAUUAGUGGCGAGGGAACGCAAGAAUUUUGUUUCUCCCGUUGCAACGCAUGAAUACAUUUACUUGAUUAAACAUAAAUAAAAUUAAUAAUUUUUUUUUUAUAUUUGAGAGUUACUAUUAAACAAGAAAACUUUGACCUGGGCGGACGAUUACUCUGCCAAAUAGUCUUCUGUGCAAAACGUAAUCCGUCUUCUCACAUCAAUCAAACCCCACAACCCGCUCCUCCCUGGCCUUCCUUCCAAGUUCAUCGCACCCUCCUAGAAUUAGAUCGCUGCCGCCAGCCUACGGUCGCCGGUUGGAGGCCAAAACUCUCUUCUCCGGCUACCCCUGAAGGCAACCCACCAGGUUGCGUCCAUCGGGAUGACGACGGCCAGGACGAAGUCCGGCGUGCAGCGCAGGAACAAGGAUCUCGACGAGGUUGAGCGGAUGAAAUUUCUCACACCCCAAUCCCAGUUCGCGCUGCCGCCUGACCCUCUGCCGCCGCCACUCCUCCUCUUGGCCUUCGCCCCACACACAUCGUCACCGCCCAGAUUGUGCCCACCCUCCAACCCAAACGCCCAAUCUUCCCUGCCGUUGUCGGACGCCGCGUCAUCUCGCCGUGACCGCUUGCCACUGAACCCGUAGGCAUAGAACCUGACGGGGCCGCAAAGGCCGUAAACAAACAUGCGGAAUCCGUCGCCGAAGCUCUGUUUCCCGACACACCGUCGCGGGCUCUGCUGUUCCUCUACACAUCGAUGCCCACCCCUCCCCCGUGCCUCCCUCCCCGCCCGCUGUGACAUCCCGGGCACCGCUUAUCCGCCCUUUUCACUGCUGUCCGGCCGCCUACUACGUCAGGUUCCCGUUUCAGGGGUGGUGGUCAGUGCGAUUUUGGGCCGUGCGUCGUUUUGCCGCUGCCGACAGCGGUCGGUAGAUGUAGCGCGCGUGUGUGCACUAGCUUCGAGUCUAGCCUGAAGGAGGCGAGGUGGCUAGGCAGCGUUGCUUGCUCUGUUUCUAUAGGCGCUGCUGGCUAUACCUGCUUCUUCUGGGCUAUGUGGCGGCAUCUAUUAUGAGCAUCGCUACUAGGGAUGCUUGUCCAGCUUCAACUGAACUGAUCAAGUGGACGAGGGCUUCAAUGUCUUGGCCUGACGUCCGCGGACCUAGCCGGAUGGUCACCACCACAGUCAGUGUCAUUCAUCACCUUGCCAAACGGAACUGCUCGCCACAGAAAAGUGUGGUCACUCUUUAAUUGAAAUGCCUACUUUGUCCCCUCUUUACUAGGUUCAGGGCUAGGUAUUGCAUUUGAGAUAUCGCAUUAAGCCCUCCAACUCUCUAGCAAUAUUAUGUUUACAUUAUUCAUAGGUACUAAAAAAUAUUCGGUAUGAAGUGUGGGUGCCUCGGUGGUGAUACUGAAUCAAGAGAUAAAUUUUCAAAAUGAGAAAGGUGUGGUAACUCUUUAAUUGAAAUGUUCAUGUUACCCUGUAUGGUUUGGAAAUGAGUCAAAAGAGUGCAUUUCUUCAGUAUAGGAUUGUAUGGAAAUGAGUGAUUCUCUUUUGAAUAUUGCAGUUUUUAUGACAAAUUGUUCGAUGUUAUUAAUUUGCAACACAAGCCUUUUCAAGAUUGCAAGAGAUAACACUCUGGAAUUGCAAAAAAAAAAAAAACAAUUGUGCUCUGCAAUUUUUGAUCAGACAUAUCCUUUCUUCACUUAGAUAAGCAUAGAUCAUUUUCAAGUAAGAGAAUUAUAAUAGUGCAAGCUCUAGAUUGCUGCUUAUAAUUCAAAAUACUCUUUGUUGUCUUGAUAAAGUAGUUGUUUACUUGCAGGAUGUGGGGUUACAGUUGGAAGGGAUAAACCUUGCUGGUUAUCGCCAAGCAUUUGAAGAAAAUUGUGCCAAUCGAGAGUAUCUUGAAAACAUCUCCAUGUUUACAACCGAACAGAUGCUGCAACUUAUCAGGUGACAGGUGUUGGUAUAUGAAAUAGAGAGAUUGUACCACACGUUGUAAAAUGUUGAGCCACAUUACAUGUUCUUCCUUACUAUAUUUCACAACAUAUCA